rnacentral:rRNA from 1 species
GACGAACGCUGGCGGCGUGCCUAAUACAUGCAAGUAGGACGCAGUUGCGAACGGGUGAGUAACGCGUAGGUAACUACCUAUUAGAGGGGGAUAACUAUUGGAAACGAUAGCUAAUACCGCAUACUAGUAGAUGGACCUGCGUUGUAUUAGCUAGUAGGUAGGGUAAUGGCCUACCUAGGCAACGAUACAUAGCCGACCGUAGGAGGGGGUCGGCCAAACUGGGACUGGGACACGGCCCAGACUCCGACGGGAGGCAGCAGUAGGGAAUCUUCGGGAAUUGGGGGAACCCUGACCAGGCAACGCCGCGGGAGUGAAGAAGGGUUUCGGAUCGUAAAGCUCUUGUGUUAAGGAAGCGGUACUUAACCAGAAAGGGACGGCUAACUACGUGCCAGCAGCCGCGGUAAUUC